rnacentral:rRNA from 1 species
GAUGAACGCUGGCGGCGUGCCUAAUACAUGCCAGUCGAGCGAACAGACGAGGAGCUCGCUCCUCUGACGUUAGCGGCGGACGGGUGAGUAACACGUGGAUAACCUACCUAUAAGACUGGGAUAACUUCGGGAAACCGGAGCUAAUACCGGAUAAUAUAUUGAACCGCAUGGUUCAAUAGUGAAAGACGGUUUUGCUGUCACUUAUAGAUGGAUCCGCGCCGCAUUAGCUAGUUGGUAAGGUAACGGCUUACCAAGGCAACGAUGCGUAGCCGACCUGAGAGGGUGAUCGGCCACACUGGAACUGAGACACGGUCCAGACUCCUACGGGAGGCAGCAGUAGGGAAUCUUCCGCAAUGGGCGAAAGCCUGACGGAGCAACGCCGCGUGAGUGAUGAAGGUCUUCGGAUCGUAAAACUCUGUUAUUAGGGAAGAACAAAUGUGUAAGUAACUAUGCACGUCUUGACGGUACCUAAUCAGAAAGCCACGGCUAACUACGUG